ACAAACAGACCGAUCGAGGAAAGGAAGUUUACAAGAGAGUUGUUCUGCCGUAGCCUAUCAAUAUAGCGAAUUCACAUUUUGUCCUACAAUCAAGAGGUUGCGUCUUCUUCACUAUGGCCCAUGUGAACAGUAAUUCACCAGCGACCAAAGGGAGAGCAACCUCCCAGGUCAAAUCCAGUGCAGAGGACUUUGAUGGGGACCUGACUGAGUUCACUUCCAAAUUAAUUUCUGCAGAGGAUCUGGAACGUAUGCAUCGUUCUUCAGAACCUCACAGACUUAGCUCACCAAGGCUUAAUUUAGACCUCAGGGCUGAGACGCUGAAGGUUGUGCGGGAUGCUGCAACAGGUCAAGAACAGGCUUUGAAGGUGGCCAUAGAAAGCAUGAGGAGAGAGAUGAAACAAGUGAUGAGGAGCAGACAGGGGGAAAGAGAGAGGAAGUUAGCGGUCCUGCUGGAGGGUAGACAGACGCGGGUCACACAAAUGGAGAAAUGGAACGAGGGAAAGAAACAUCUCUCCCAUCAAAAAAGGGAAGAAGGAGAGUGUGCAAUGCUCAAAGACGCUAUUGCUCAGCUACCCAGGGUAAUACAUUCCCUGGACCGCAUGAGAAUGGUGGAGCUUGAGGAGUGGGUGAAGAAAGAGGAAGAAGAGGACAGCUUGGAGUGGGCAACGUGGAGGGAGCAAGUUUUACACUUGGACACCAUCACCAGGCAGCAGAGCAGAGACGCAGUGGCCAGAGUCGCUCAGCGCUGGAAAACAGCAGAAAAUGGAGGACGCCAGAACACUAGUGCUGCGACACUGGCUCUGCCAUCCAAGCUCCCUCUACUGCCAUCACAACUCCCUCAACUGCCAUCCAAGCUCCCUCUACUGCCAUCCAAGCUCCCUCUACUGCCAUCCAAGCUCCCUCAACUGCCAUCCAAGCUCCCUCUACUGCCAUCACAACUCCCUCCUCUGCCAUCCAAGCUACCCCCAUUGCCAGCCAAGCUCCUCCCUUUGAACCCACCCCUUCUGAGAGCAUUCUGCAACCCAGUUGCCCCUCUGCCUCCCAUACAGUGCAAGAGAGAACAAGAGGACCUAGACUUAGAAAGUGUUUCAGAACAUUCCACGCAGGUGAAAGAACCAUCAGACCAUCAGAACCAUGUCAUACUCCUCACCAGUAUAACCCAGGAUAGAGUUUUAUGGUAGUGCUGUGGCAGAGCACUUGAUGGUGAAUCUGGAUGCUGAUGGUCAAAGUCCAGAGGCUACCAGCACAUUGUCCUCUGAGUCCCUAGCAGCAGGUGACAGCGGGGUAGAGCAAGAGAGGGAAAAGACGAGAAGCAUUAAAGAGAGGUUUUUCCAUUUCCUCAGAAAACUGAACUGCUGCAGUGCCAAAGAGGACUAGGCAGACCCAUCAACCCACUGUGAUCAUUUGUAUUAGUUUCAUUUUCCUAGCCACCAUAAAUAAAUUUAAUAGAAAUCCA